GAUGAACGCUGGCGGCGUGCCUAAUACAUGCAAGUCGAGCGAACAGACGGGGGGCUUGCUCCUCUGACGUUAUCGGCGGACGGGUGAGUAGCACGGGGAUAACCUACCUAUAAGACUGGGAAAACUUCGGGAAACCGGAGCUAAUACCGGAUAAGAUAUUGAUCCGUGUGAUUCAAUAGUGAAAUGCGGUUUUGCCGUUACUUAUAGAUGGAUCCUGGCGUCAUUAGCUAGUUGGUAAGGUAACGGCUUACCAAGGCAACGCUGCGUAGCCGACCUGAGAGGGUGAUCGGCAACACUGGAACGGAGCAACGGUCCGGACCCUUACGGGAGGCACAAGAGGGGAAUCUUCCGCAAUGGGCGAAAGCCUGACGGGGCAACGCCGCGUGAGUGAUGAAGGUCUUCGGAUCGUAAAACUCUGUUAUUAGGGAAGACGAAAUGUGGAAGUAAAUAUGCACGCUUUGACGGUACCUAAUCAGAAAGCCACGGCUAACUACGUG
rnacentral:rRNA from 1 species